rnacentral:other from 1 species
CGUCCUCUGCCGUGCCGCCAGCGGAAACUUACAUAUUGCCUUGACCCUAAAUAACGACCCCGGGAGCGCGAUACCGGGCCCAGCGUGCAAGUCCGCCACGCAGCGGAAAGCCCAAGGGCCUGUGAGCAAUCCCACCUGAUCCCUGGGAUCAAGGUCGUUCGUUUUCGCAACGGCACGGUGGAGGAUCU